rnacentral:lncRNA from 1 species
GGCCCAAGAUUUGCCAUGUUCACCUACUAAUUAAAUCCUUAUUAAACUCUCAAUGGUUUACGGAAAACAUGAACAUAUACAUAAUAUGUCCAACAAAGAGUAAAUCCCUUUGAAUAAGAUGUGUAAAUCAUAGUACCAAUGUUAGUUUGAUUCCAGUGGGUAACGAGCAGCUAGCAGAGUGCUGUGCUCCUCUAGAGUGGAGUGCUGUGCUCCAUAACGAGAUACGCUGACAGAAACGGUUGGAGACACACAUGGUUCCGCGAAACCAGCUCAGCUCUGCUUGCCGUCAUUGCCGCCGCCUCCUCCGUCGGUGAUCUCCACCUGCGGAAUGGUCUGCGCGGUGGGUCGGGAGAAAUGAAAGAGUGGUGAGCCAUGAGCGUGCAUUGCGUCGAACAGGUUGCGGGCAUGGGGAAAGGUACGGGUGGAUGACAGAGACUAGUGUACCAUGUCGGGCUUGUAGACGUUGUGGACGACGGAGGCCCCCGCAAGGAGGGAGACGACCACGACCACCGAUGACCAGGCCAGCGAUGGCGUUCCCGUCGGCAGCCGCCCGCCCCCAAACUUCCUGCCGCCGCCGUUCAUCUUUCCUAUCGCUCUCUCCCUCUCCUCCGCCAAUCUUGAUGAUGACUGGACCGUUCCUCUUCCUUUCGGCUUCU